rnacentral:rRNA from 1 species
AUGCGUGUCAUCAUAGACGGAGGGAGCUGCAACAACUUGGCUAAUUUCAGCAAAUCUGUUUGCUAUGCUUUUGUGUGCAAAGAGGCAUUAUUUUCAUUCGAGGACGUGCCUUCCUCUUUGCCUCCUGCUGUCACUAACAUUUUGCAGGAGUUCGCUGACGUCUUUCCACAAGACGUGCCACCGGGAUUACCGCCUAUUCGAGGGAUUGAGCAUCAUAUUGACUUAAUUCCCGGUGCUUCGCUGCCAAACCGUGCACCAUACCGUACCAAUCCAGAGGAGACGAAGGAGAUUAUGCGUCAAGUACAAGAGCUUCUCGACAAAGGAGGCAUUAAUAAUAUUACUAUUCGUUAUCGUCAUCCUAUUCCUAGGCUAGAUGAUAUGCUUGAUGAAUUGAGUGGCUCUACAAUAUUCUCCAAAGUUGAUUUACGUAGUGGAUACCAUCAAAUUCGUAUGAAAUUGGGAGAUGAAUGGAAAACAACAUUCAAAACUAAGUUUGGAUUAUAUGAGUGGUUAGUCAUGCCUUUUGGGUUAACUAAUGCACCUAGUACUUUCAUGAGAUUAAUGAACGAAGUUUUACGUGCUUUCAUUGGACGAUUUGUGGUAGUUUACUUUGAUGACAUAUUGAUUUAUAGCAGAUCUUUGGAAGAACAUUUGGAACAUUUACGUGCUGUUUUUAUUGCUCUACGUGAUGCACGUUUGUUUGGUAACCUUAGGAAGUGCACCUUUUGCACCGACCGAGUAUCUUUUCUUGGCUAUGUUGUUACUCCACAGGGAAUUGAAGUUGAUAAAGCCAAGAUUGAAGCUAUUGAGAGUUGGCCGCAACCCAAAACGGUCACACAAGUGAGGAGUUUUCUUGGCCUCGCUGGAUUCUAUAGGCGUUUUGUGAGAGAUUUCAGCACCAUUGCUGCACCUCUCAAUGAGCUUACAAAGAAAGAUGUGCCUUUUCUGUGGGGUACCGCACAGGAAGAAGCCUUCACGGUAUUGAAAGAUAAGUUGACACAUGCUCCUUUACUCCAACUUCCUGAUUUUAAUAAGACUUUUGAGCUUGAAUGUGAUGCUAGUGGAAUUGGAUUAGGAGGUGUGUUAUUACAAGAUGGCAAACCUGUUGCAUACUUUUCUGAAAAAUUGAGUGGGCCUAGUCUGAAUUAUUCUACCUAUGAUAAAGAAUUAUAUGCUCUUGUUCGGACUUUAGAAACAUGGCAACAUUAUUUAUGGCCCAAAGAAUUUGUUAUACAUUCUGAUCAUGAAUCUUUGAAACAUAUUAAAAGUCAAGCUAAACUGAAUCAUAGACAUGCUAAAUGGGUUGAAUUCAUUGAGACUUUCCCUUAUGUCAUUAAACACAAGAAGGGAAAAGAAAAUGUUAUUGCUGAUGCAUUGUCUCGUCGCUAUACUAUGCUUUCACAACUUGACUUCAAAAUAUUUGGUUUAGAGACCAUCAAAGAUCAAUAUGUGCAUGAUGCUGAUUUUAAAGAUGUAAUGCAGAAUUGUAAAGAAGGAAGAAUGUGGAACAAGUUUGUUGUUAACGAUGGAUUUGUGUUUCGUGCUAACAAGCUAUGCAUUCCAGCUAGCUCCGUUCGUCUUUUGUUGUUGCAGGAGGCGCAUGGAGGAGGAUUAAUGGGACAUUUUGGCGUGAAGAAGACGGAGGACGUACUUGCUACACAUUUCUUUUGGCCAAAGAUGAGACGGGAUGUUGAGCGGCUGUUUUGA